CUUUGCCCAGACAGAUGCCCGUCUCGGUCCUCCACAUAUGGCUGUGCAUGGCGUGCCUUGUGUAAAGGUGUGUGCACAGUGGGCUCAGCCUGGGGGCUGAGACCCUUCUGGUAUUCUGCCCACUCAGCGGCGUGCCUUGUUCAGCCAGGAAGAAACACCUUUUUGUAAGUGGACGCCUGUUUUCAUUCACACAAAGGCACUCCCUGUGCUAGCAGCAGCCCCGACCUGGGUAAUGGUUUGCGCACGUCAGCUUUCUGGCCUUUCAAGCCUGUGUCGUUUUAAGCCACACAGUCACGUUGGAUGUCCUGGACUUAAGUACCAGCCAUGUCGAGCCUUACACAAAUCGGGCUCAACAACAAUCAUCUGUGCUAACUACCCCCCAAAGAAGGUAGGAGCCACCAGUCAGGCCGACAAGCUACUAGGCUGAGAGCCUGAGUAUUCACUACAGCCUGGUCCAUCUCCCCACCUGCUGAUUACUUCAUGGAUUUGCUUCCCGCAAAUACAUCUCCAUGGAGCUCUCUGGAGACGCCUUGGAAAAUGUCCACGUUCAUAGAUCGGAGCCAAUUUUGAUGCCAAUAAAGAGCCUCAGAAGCUGAGCUCAUAAACCGGUCACCCCUUUCCUGGUAAUUAGAAGGAGAAUCACGGAAGCCGCAAUGCUGAAGGCAUCGCUUCACAUUUCAGUCAUGCAAACGGUGGGAAGCUCUCAAAGAAUAACACAUCGUCAUUGAGUCAGGGCAGGCGAAAAUGGGCUUAAACUGCCCUGCAAACAACACUGCCCCUUCUGCCACGCCCACUUUUCUUUGUCAUCCUAUCACUGCUGUGGCCUCUCCAGCCGCAGAGCACAGGCUUCGG